UUAGAUGGUUGGAUGACUGCUGGUUACAUGUUCGUAGGAAUUUUGUGACUGGAGGAAAGUCCGGGCUCCACGGAAAUGCGAUGCCGGGUAACGCCCGGCGGGGGGAACCCUAGGGAAAGUGCCGCAGAAAGCAAACCGCCUGGCUCUUUGAGCUUAGGUAAGGGUGAAAGGGUGUGGUAAGAGCGCACCGCAGCUUUAGUAAUAAAGCUGGCAUGGUAAACCCCAUCGGGAGCAAGACCAAAUAGGAAUGACGAACGAUAGUAGUAAUACUAUAGUUGGUGUGUUUUCGCACUGUCAUUCGGGUAGGUCGCGAGAGGCGGUUGGCGACAAUCGUCCCAGAGGAAUGGUCAUCCACUCCAUCAAUUUUUUAAUUGAUGGAGUGACAGAACCCGGCUUAUAGACUGUCUAACCUA
rnacentral:RNase_P_RNA from 1 species